rnacentral:rRNA from 1 species
CAGUCGCCGCGGGAAAACGAAGGGGGCUAGCGUUGUUCGGAAUUACUGGGCGUAAAGCGCACGUAGGCGGACAUUUAAGUCAGGGGUGAAAUCCCGGGGCUCAACCCCGGAACUGCCUUUGAUACUGGGUGUCUAGAGUAUGGAAGAGGUGAGUGGAAUUCCGAGUGUAGAGGUGAAAUUCGUAGAUAUUCGGAGGAACACCAGUGGCGAAGGCGGCUCACUGGUCCAUUACUGACGCUGAGGUGCGAAAGCGUGGGGAGCAAACAGGAUUAGAUACCCCAGUAGUCCCUGUCUCUUAUAA